UACGAAGGGGGCUAGCGUUGUUCGGAUUUACUGGGCGUAAAGCGCACGUAGGCGGCUUUCUAAGUCGGGGGUGAAAUCCUGGAGCUCAACUCCAGAACUGCCUUCGAUACUGGAGAGCUCGAGUCCGGGAGAGGUGAGUGGAACUGCGAGUGUAGAGGUGAAAUUCGUAGAAUAUUCGCAAGAACACCAGUGGCGAAGGCGGCCUCA
rnacentral:rRNA from 1 species